rnacentral:lncRNA from 1 species
UUGGACCUUAACACUACUAGUUUGGGCCAUUGGUUUGGACUCCAACUGGGCUCCUUUUGAAACACCCCCUUUUGGACCUCCUUUAUGCUCAUUUUGAGCCCUUUUGGUAGAGUUCAAAGGCUGCUUUGGGUGACCCAAUCUUCCUACUCUUGGACUUCAAUUUGAACCACCAAAUAAUUGUAAAACUUUGGCAAUUCAUCUCAUUUGGGAUUGAACUCUUCCUUUACAAUUAAAAGCUUCUUUAUUUGCCAUUGAAGUCCACCAACCUUAGUUUGCAACUCUUUAGCUUGAGAUCUUGUAAAUGGCCUUGGAGCUUCCAAACCUCUAUCCUUGUCCUUGAUGAAUCACCAGUUCUCAUCGUGAGAUUCCUUUCCCGAGUGAGUAAUAAUUUGGUUCUGCUCGUGUCGUUAUGUUCUCACUUGUUUUAUUUCCAUUUGUAGGUUUAUCCAAUAACAUCACACUAAGCCUCUAUCGGAGGCGAAUACUUUCCCGCCAAGUCACGUGCCCCAAGAUAGGGUGAUGAGAAGAAAAGGAAAAGGGCUACGAAUUCUCCAAACUUGGAAAUCCAA